UUUCGUAUGAGGCUUUUCAGGUAAUAUUUACAUAUUUACAAUAUCUUAGGGUAACAAUUAAAUUCGCAAUUAAUAACAAUGUAUUAUGAAUAAUGUGUUCAGAAGAUGAGCAGAAUAAAUUCUGCAAACAGGAAAAAGUUACAAGUAAACCACGUAGCUGGUUCAAAGUCAUUUGUACGAUAUCGUUACGACAUGUGAGAUUCCGUCACCGGCCAGAAGCCUAGACCAGUAGACCUUUACAGAGGGACUCACUGUCGGCAGGCAACGGGAUCUUGGGUUCAUCCUAGAGUCAGCGAGAAUUGGGCGGCGAUGAACACCACACGUAGUCAGCCUACUCCCGAUGGUAGACAAUGGAGUGAGCCAAAUAUCCUGAGCGAGGUGCUUGGCACCCGUUCUAGAUAUGUGUGUGGGCUUAGCCAUGGUGCAAAGCUCAUGGCACCUGCUAGAGCUGCCUCCAGCCGAUCUGUCGCUGGGGAGAGCGCCUUACGCCGAGCUGAUAUCACAGAGAGAGA